rnacentral:tRNA from 1 species
UCUCUGGUGGUUCAGACGGUUAAAAAUCUGCCUUCAAUGCAGGAGACCCAGGUUCGAUCCCUAGAUAGGGAA